rnacentral:lncRNA from 1 species
GGAAUGCUAGAGAGGUUUUAUUCACGUGUCUUUCCAGAGAACCACAGAACAUACUCCGAUAGAUUUCAACAUCCGCAUUGCUAUCAAGGACACAUUUGGAGACAUUGGUUAUAUAAUGAAGGCUUUGACUGGAAUGUCAUAUUUGAGAGAAACAUACAGACUCAGAUAUGACAAUACAGCCUUUGAGGAGUGAAGGUUGACUUUCUGGAAUAAAGCCACUUGAAACAUUAGCCACAGGAAAUAUUGGCCUGGUACCUUGUUUAUAGAGAUUCCAGCAAACUUACCUGACCACUUCUCAUCAGAAGAUUCUCUCAUCUCCAGAGGACCUGUAUACCUUGUCAGCUUUGGACUCCAUGGACCCAACCUUCCAGUCCACUGAACCUCCUUCCUGUGCCCUCAUGGCCCCAUUUAGGGACAGCUCUAUGACCUUGUUCAGCCAGAAGUAGUUACAGAAGGUUGGCCAUCGUCCAUAUCCCCAAAGGAUUUUGGGGCCAAAUGGGUUCAGGGGAGAUUUUAUGAUGAGGAUCAAGCCUGCCCCAGGGUGAGAAGGUCAAGGCAUCCUGCCCUACAGAUGGAUCUAUAUCAUCCUCCGGGAAGCAUAGAACCUCCUGAUCUGAUCUGACCUGACUCCUAUCCAAAGUUAUAGGAUCACCCAAUAACCAGACCCCGCCUGCACUGAUACCAUUUUGAUGGCUUUUUUUUUUUCUGCUUUAUUUCCCAAACUCCCCCGGUACAUAGUUGUAUAUCUUAGUUGCAGGUCCUUCUAGUUGUGGGAUGUGGGACGCCGCCUCAACGUGGCCUGACGUGCGGUGCCAUGUCCGCGCCCAGGAUCCGAUCCCUGGGCCGCUGCAGUGGAGCACGCAAACUUAACCACUCGGCCACGGAGCCGGCUGCCUUUUGAUGGCUUUUUUACAUGAUCUUUCCUUUGUCUUGUAAAGAAAUAACUCACAUACCUGUGCCUUAUAAAUUUAGCCCUACCCUCAACCCAUUGCAGCUCUUUACUGCCCAUGGGUCCUGUCCCCAUGCUACUCCAUGCUAUUCUCUGAAUAAAGGAGCACUACUACCAGAUCUUGAGAAUCCAGGAAAUCUUUCUUUCAACUCCUCAGCUCACAGAGCCUGCAUCAUUUUUCAUUAGAACAGCUUAGCUAUAAUGAGAUGAUUGCACUUCAU